rnacentral:miRNA from 13 species
UGCAUCAUGCGUGACCUCCCUA